GGGGUCAUCCUCUACACGCUGGUCAGUGGGUCACUGCCCUUCGACGGACACAACCUCAAGGAGCUGCGGGAGAGGGUCCUGAGGGGGAAGUACCGGGUGCCCUUUUACAUGUCCACGGACUGUGAGAACAUCCUGCGCCGAUUCCUGGUGCUCAACCCGGCCAAGCGCUGCACCCUCGAGCAAAUCAUGAAGGACAAGUGGAUCAACAUCGGGUACGAGGGGGACGAGCUGACCCCGUACACCGAACCCCAGGAGGACUUUGGGGACA